rnacentral:rRNA from 1 species
CGAAAGCCUGACGGAGCAAGACCGCGUGGGGGAUGAAGGUUUGUGGAUUGUAAACCCCUUUUGAUUGGGAAGAAUAACUGACGGUACCAAUCGAAUAAGCCUCGGCUAACUCCGUGCCUGCAGCCGCGGUAAUACGGAGGAGGCAAGCGUUAUCCGGAAUUAUUGGGCGUAAAGCGUCCGUAGGUGGUUUAGUAAGUCUGCUGUUAAAGCGCGGGGCUUAACCCUGUAUCGGCAGUGGAAACUACUAGACUAGAAUGUGGUAGGGGUAGAGGGAAUUCCCAGUGUAGCGGUGAAAUGCGUAGAUAUUGGGAAGAACACCGGUGGCGAAGGCGCUCUACUGGGCCAUAACUGACACUGAUGGACGAAAGCUAGGGGAGCG